GGCCUCGUGGCUCAGCUGGUAGAGCACUCGCAAUACUAAAGCGAGGGCGGUGUCCACGCGUGGGUUCGAAUCCCGCCGGGGCCA
rnacentral:tRNA from 1 species